GCUGUUGUAGCUCAGUGGCAGAGCAGUCACCUUAUAAGCGACAGACGAGGGUUCAAAUCCCUACGACAGCUCCA
rnacentral:tRNA from 1 species